CCACAUCCGACAGUGGAGUUCAGCAAUGCGCGUGCUGUAAAUGGCGCACUUGUAGUGCGUACUGUAAAGUCUGCGAGCUGACAUUCACCCCAAUAAAUGAGCAACUCUAGCUGAAGACAACUGAAAUCUGUGUGACAAGAUGUUGAUUAAAGAGGAGAGUGAAGAAACGAGUUGCCCAGAUGAAUGCACAACGAAACAUGAAGAUACUGAUGAACAAAGAGACCUAUGUAUCUGAAUGCUCUCAGAUCUUCUCUGAUCAUACACAAGGUAAAGCCAUGAUGAUCCUGAACGCUGUGUCGGUCACUGGACUCCUGCUCUCCCUGACCGGUUUAACGGCGUAUAAUUUGAGUCAGGAGAAGUCCAAGUCGGUGAAACUGGGUGACAAGGUGUCGAUACUCUGCACUGCAGAAGAUGAUGAGUAUUACAUUUCAUGGUACCAACAAAAAGCCGGUGCUCCUCCUCAGUUUCUGUUUUUUAACGACAUAAGAGCGAGCGAUUUACCCGACAGGUUCACUUUCACUGACUCGGGCAAUCAGGAUUAUCUGACCAUCGAUGGAGUGAGAGCUGAAGAUGAAGCAGUUUAUUACUGUGCUUGUAUUGGCUGUGCAGGAGCCACAGUGCUCCAGUCCAACAGAGCCGUCGUACAAAAACCUCCUCUGAAGCGUGACCUCCUCUGAAGCGUGUGCUCAGAAAUCUCCAUGCUACACAUUAUUCUUUAAUGCACAACGUACUAAGUUUUGUUGAACAUUGUCACCAACUUGAAAAUCAUGUGUUGAUUCAUGUGAUUCAUUCAUUUUCACACGAUUCAUUUCUCACACUGAAUUUUACACAUGAUUCAUCACUUCACACAGAUCAGAGAUAAUGAAUACAGGCUUUAUAGAGAGUGUUAGCAAGCCUUAGAAAUAUGCUCUGCACUAAAUCCGCGAAACUUUCUGCUCUUUUGUCUAUAUUCAGGAGCGGUGAAGUGCUCAGAUUACAGCGCUGAGGUUUUUGUACUGAGCUCUAACACCGUGAGCCUAUGUGUUUGCUCAAGGCACCAACCUUGUGAUAUCUGAUCGUCCGUCGUCUCCUCCGUCUCUGCUCCUGCUGGCUCCUCCUGCUUCUCCGCUCUCUGAGGGUGAUGUCAGUGUGGUGUGUGUGGCUCGGGGCUUUUACCCUGACGGUGUCACCAUGUCCUGGUCUGAGGACAGCAGCGGCGUGACGGGGGACGAGGUGCAGACGGCUCCGUAUCAGCGUCAGGCCGACGGCACCUUCUCCCAGACCAGCGUUCUGAAGCUCAGUAAGCAGCGCUGGAGCUCCGGGAGAACCUACACUGAGUCACCCGGCGCUUUCCACACCGCUGAGCCAGAGCACCAGCCUGAACCAGUGCAUGUAGAGAGAUUCUCUAACCAUCAACAAACAUGCAUUAAAGAAUUCCACUUGUUCUUUACUUGCUUGCUUUAGAAAGUAUACGAUAAUAAAGUGAUAUUGUUAAUUGUAAUUGUUAA